rnacentral:rRNA from 1 species
GACGAGGGAUCCUAGCGUUGUUCGGAAUUAUUGGGCGUAAAGCGGGUGUAGGCGGACUUAUAAGUCAGGUGUGAAAUCCCAGGGCUCAACCCUGGAAGUGCACUUGAUACUGUAAGUCUUGAAUGUGGUAGAGGUUACUAGAAUUCCUGGUGUAGUGGUGAAAUACGUAGAUAUCAGGAGGAAUACCGGAGGCGAAGGCGGGUAACUGGGCCAACAUUGACGCUGAGAUCCGAAAGCGUGGGGAUCAAACAGG